AGAGCUGCUGCCCCACAAACUUCACCCACAGCAACCAUGACUUUGGUCUCCAUCUUCAUCUGGACGCUCACCCUGUGGACUCAAGGGUCAUUUGGAGACAUAAUUAUGACUCAGACUCCAGGAUCUCAGACUGUUUCACCAGGAGACUCUGUUACUAUCAGCUGCAGAGCCAGUCAGAACAUUGACAACUGGUUGGCCUGGUAUCUGCAGAAACCUGGAGAAGCUCCUAAACUCUUGAUCUAUUAUGCUACUAACCGUCAGUCUGGUGUUCCAGAUCGUUUCAGUGGGAGUAGCUCUGGUACAGAUUUUACUCUAAAGAUCAGUGGAGUUCAGUCUGAAGAUGCAGGAGAUUAUUACUGUCAGCAGUAUAACAGCAGACCGUUCACACAGUGUUAGAGCGCAAUACAAAAACCUCCCUCAGCUGUAGAGGAACUGCUCUGACUCAGAAACUCUCACUGAUCUGAGAACAGCUGCUGAAGCUGCACUCAGCUGAACUCAUCAACUCCAAAACAGUACAGUAGUGAGCACUGUUCUCUCUUUGGAGGAUUCUUCUCACUGUGGAACAGGAUCUUCAGCACUAGAUGGAACAUCUCACUGCAUUUUUGGAAUCUCAGCUAAUCCUGUGAACUCAAACACAGUUACAGUGUAAAUACAUGAGACGGUCACACACAGAGUCUAUUUCUUCCUUUUCUUUUUCAGGAGCUCCUCAGAUACUCAGAUAUAUCAUCGUUUGCUUCAUGAGUGCUCACAGGUUUUUAUAACUUCAUGAAUUUGAUAAUUUUGGAUCAGAAGUGUACUUAGCAACUCUUAAGGAUUUUGAAUGUGGUUCAUUUCAUGAACUGCUAUAAAAACACAUAA